rnacentral:lncRNA from 1 species
UUCCUAAGUUAUUCUCAACUAUAUAGUCUAGCAUUAUCAUAGUUAGUGCUAGCAUUCUUAGCAAUCAUUGUGAGACAAGACUACGCCCAUGCAUAGUGAUAUUAGCAAGGUAAAUGAGAAACAUAGCAAUCACUCCCCUGUAAUAAUAUUGCUCUGCCAGCCCAAUACACGAGUGGGGGACUAUAUAAGAAUCAAUGAAGCUGUCACUAUCACGAACUAUCCCACGAUCUGGCAUAUUGGGUACAAUCGCAGAUAAAUACGGUAUAAGCACCACGCCUACACAAUAUCUAUCAUUUACCCAUGGAUCCGAUGGAUAAACGCUAUACGAUCCUAAUCAUGUAUAUAGAUCCAAUCUAACUAAGCCAAGUACAUAACUAUGAUAAACUAAGAACAAUAUAAUCUUGAAUAUAAACAAGUACAGCAAAGUCAUAAGCAAUAUAUUGAAGUAGAACAAAGUCAUAUUCAUAAUAUUGAAGAACAAAGAUGAUUAGAAAGCAAUUAGAAGCACAAUUAGAGAAUUACCAAGAAUCCUCUUGACAGAUCCGGAAACCAAUCGAAGAUUGACUCCUUCUAGUUCUAAUCCUAUGUAGCUAUGCUAAUCUAGAUGUCUAAUUGAUGUGGUGGCUCUAAUCUUGAUCAGGGGCUUCUUCUCCCUUGAGAAUAAUGAAUUAGGUUUGAGAGGCUCUCUCCUCCAGGGGCCAGGGGGUCUGGUUUUAUAGUCCCUUCAAGUGAAUAUGGGCCGUUGGAUCAAACCAACAUUGAUUGAAAUGUUAUCCUUGAUCCUUUAGGUCGGUGGAGAUCUUCCCCAAAAGAGAGUCCUGUUUGGACUCCAGAGGUGGGCGGGCGCCUAGGGCAACUGGGCGGGCCCAGUGCCUAGCCCCGUUCGGCCUCCGCUUCCUUCCCGUGGCUUCUGGAGUCUUCUAGAUGUAAGAUAAUUGCGUGGCACGUUGAUAUCUCUAUGUAAUCCCGACGUGUGGGCCUUUCUUCCGUAUUUCCUGAUAACCCCUGCAGAAAUAGACAAACACCAAAACUCGUCCCUGAGCAGAGAUAGAUUAGAAGUUGCUGCAAUACUUUUAAAAAUUGACAGUACACAUGCUUUUAAAUAAGGUCUCAUCUCUGAGUUAGAGUAAACUGUCAAGACUUAAAACUUACUUACUUUACCUUUCACCAUGGGACUUGUAACCGUCACUUCUGUCUUGAGUAGUUAAAAGAUAGAACGGUCUAAUCAAGUGCCAUGUCUCUUAUUCUUGAUCAGCUAUAGCUCUGGAGCUUUUGCAGAUUUUCAAAUAAAACUCAGAGAUUCCUUGUAUGACUCUCUCAUAUCUCUCUUUUAUGGUAUUUCUGGAUCCUUAUCAAGGCAGUGAUGGUAUAUGCCUUCUCUCAAAAUAUGUGGUAUUUGUGGUAUGAGGCAUAAUGACAUUGCCUUCUCUAUCACCCUACUCUAAUAAGGCUUGAUAUCUGGAGCUCAUAGGUGGGAGAUAAAAUAUACAUACUUACAAGACAUUUAUUGUAUAGUCAAACCAUGGAUCCAAAGAAACAAAUCAAUAAGUCAAAUCAAGAUGUGCAUGUGUGGCGAAUGAAUGAUGUAUGGUGAUGAUGGUGAUAACAAUGGUGAAAGUCUAAUUCUACUUUUGCUCUUUGAGGGGAUACAUACCUUCCUUGCUUUUCGAAAUUUUGUGAGGAGAAUGAGAUGCUCUUCUUUUUUUUUCUUUUUCUUUCCUCUCAGGUGGGUAUCUUGUACCCCUAAUUCUACUAUCGGACACUUAUCCAUUUUUACCUCUCGUCUCACUUUUUCUUUUCUUUCGAGGUUCCGGGCACUUGCCCCUUUUUAUUUCCUCGUAUCUCUCUUUUUUUAGAGCACUCAUCUCAUGCGAUAAUAUAGCAAGUGGUAGUAACAAGAUAACUUGAGCAUUUAUUUCACACGGGAAAAACAUAAAUUUUUUUGGUUAUUCUCUCCGGGAUUAGGAGUAGAAUAUUUUUGGGUGAUUCUGGAGAUGGAAAUGGGUGGAUAUAUGUGGAUGGUACUUCCGGAGUAGAAGUAGCAUAUAUGAGUGAACAUGCAAGUGAAUCUUGAUUUAACCAUAUGACAAGCUCCUAAGGGUCUACACAGCUUGACCACACUCAAUGCUCAUAAGCAGUAAAUAGUAAAUGUGUGGCUCAAAGUCUAGCAAGCAUGUAUAUAUGGCUGUGGUAGGAAUUUAAACUCUCAUCAUACAGGAACUCAUCAUGUGUUAUAAAUUUUCAAAGAUAAAAUUCUCUAGAAUUCUAGCAUCUCUAGGAACUGAUAAACAGCAGCUCAACCUUCCCAUAUCAUAUCCGUUAACAACUUAGACUUAAGAUCAAGUUUUCAUCCCACAAGUUUAGGUUUAGAGCAAGCUUUAAAUUAUAACAGUUAUGUCUAAACUAGUGAGAGAACUUCAAAUUUGAAAAUUAGGCAGAGCAACUAUUCAUCAUAUCCAUGCUAGAGUUUUAUUCAGAUACAGUUUAGCAUAGCCACUUUAUUUAUUUAUUAAACACACUAAGCAAAAGAUAUAUAUAUAUAUAUAAGCAUAAAAUCUUUAUUUGGUUUUUCCUAGUUAUGUAUAUUUAUAUUCUAAUAUAAUAUAAGUAUAAAGAUAGAUAGAAAUACUUAUCGGGAUAAAUGGGGGUGCUCUCCCCCAAGCUGAAUUUUGACGUAAUUUCUCUUGAUGUAGCUAGCAGGUGGUAGAGGUGUAUAUAAGCAUCCUGACAGCGAUUAGAAUGUCCUCCGUCUGCUAGUCUUCUUAAUUCUUAAAUUCUGUGGAGCUCAAAUAGACAACAAAGCUUGUGGAACUAAUUAAGUGUUAGCAUAAAUAUCUAGCCUUCAUCAUAUUGAGACUCCUCAAUAAAUGUUACUCCCUGUUUUUAUAUUUUUAUUUUAUAAAGCAGAAAAGAAAUAUUUAUUUUAUUUUUAUGCCACUACAGUGAAUGUACUUAUGAGUUUUAUGCCACUCGUAUACUCACAUGGGGCUUACUGUUUUUUUAACAUUUUUAUUUUCUUUUUAGGAUAGUAUGAUUAUAACCAAUUAAGUAAAAUAAUUGAAAGAGAAAGGAUAACUACCAAGUUUACCUCUUGGCAAGGCAUUCAGUGUUUUUAAGUCCUCCGAACGGGACUCUUCUCUUUCUCAAUUGUCCUGGGAUUCAUUGGGUGGCGGAGUCGGUACUUCCGGCGGCGCCUCCUCUUCAUGUAUAAUUAUCUUCUCUUUCCAUACCUGACUUGGUGCUUUGGUCUCCUCUGGAUAAUUCUGUUUAAACUCUACAUCUUCUGACCUUACAACUUCUCCUUCGUAGUCUGCCCAUCCGUCCUUGAUGAUUUGCCUCCUCUGGUUGCGGUUGCGUCGUUUUCUUACCUGCUUAGAUUCUUCAACGAUAUAGUUAGGGUCAGUGAAAUAGCGGCGUACCUUCUCUGAGGGGAAGUGCAUGUGGACUUCUCCAGUUCCAAUGUAAAUGAUUGCUUUAACGGUGCUGUGGAACGGUCUUCCAAGGAUGACGGGUGGAUCGUACUCGUCUUCUCCCAUGUCAAUAACCUGAAAGUCUGUGUAGACAAAACGAUCGUCUAUUUUGACUGGGACAUCAGUUACUAUUCCUUUAACUUCUCAAAACGUCUGAUCUGCCAUCUGGAGCUGAAUGUAUGUUGGUUUUAAGGGCAUGGUUCCAAACAAGAGCCGAUAGGUGACUGUGGCCAUUAUGUUGACGCCCGAUCCGGUGUCGCAACUCGUCUUGUAGAAGUUAUAUCCAUUUAUGGAGCAAUAGAUGCUUGGCAUUCCUGGGUCAUCCUUCUUGGUCAAAAACGGUGACUUAAGUUGAUGAUCUUGACCUCCAUGAACUGCAGUGACCAUCUUAGCUGACUCGGUCCACACGUGCUUGUUCCAGUUCCUACUGUUGGUCCUCUUCCUUGAUUCACGUCUGGAUUGAUCUGGGAUUUGUGUAGUCUUGUUCUUGAAGGAAAACGUCUCCUUUCUCCCUUUGAUGUAGAAACUGAUCUUGGCAGCACUAGCGUAGAUGACAGCUCCCGAGGUGUUCAAGAAUGGCCUCCAUAAGAUGAUGGGUGCUCUCUCAUCAUUACCGGUCUCUAUCAUCACGAAGUCUGCUAGGGCGUAUAAGGUACCAUCUCGGACACAAAGGUUCUUCAAUAUUCCCUUGGGGAAACUUCAUGCCUGAUCUGCAAACUGUAAACACAUGGUUGUUUCUAAUAAAGGAUAUGUAAAGAAUUUUUCAUAGAGUACCCUGGGUAUAAUGUUGACGCUGGAGCCAAAGUCACAGAGUGCUUCUGGGACGUCCACCAUGCCGAUGGAGAUCGGGAUGACGGGGCGUCCUGGAUGCCUCUCUUGACCGGCAGAAGGUCAGUAGUAACUUCAGUGACGGGGUUACUCCAGUUAUUACCUGCAUCAAACAUGUCUACAAGAUUUACAGAUUCUAAUCCUUCCGGUUGUGAUGGUAUACCGGGGUUAGUAGCAGGAACAGCAGCAGCUAUUUGAUUUAACUGAGAUUCAACCAUUUUAUUAAAGCUAAUUUGAUUCUUGAUGGCCGUAGAGAAAUUAUCCAUUCUAUUGUUUAUAUUUUCUAGCAUUUUAUCAUUAGAUGCCAAUUUCUUAGAUAGGUUAUCCAUUAGCUUUCCUUGAUUAGACACUAACUCUCUCAGAGGUGGAAAAUUAUUAUUAUUGUUGUAAGAAUUAUUACCUUGAUAAUUACGUGAGUAGUUAGGCCUCUGUUGAUUCCAACCUUGAUUUUGUUGAGGACGGUUGUAGUUGUUGUUGUUAUUAUUGAUGUAGUUCACAUCCUCAAGCAUCUCAGGGCGGUGAUUGCCUGAGUGUCCAGUGUCUCCACACUCCUCACAAGUCAUGUGAGAGUCGUAGAUGUGCAUAACUUCUUUCUUAUCUCCAACUCUAUCAUCGAGCUUCUUCAUGAGCAGGUCUAGCUUUGCAGACAGCAUGUCUACCUCCUUGAGCUGAUGCAUACCUCCACCCUUCUUGUGUGUCUGGGUCCUCUCUUCAUUCCAGCCUUGAUUGGACGCCAUCUUCUCCACAAGAGCUGUGGCUUGUGAUAUGGUAAGUGAUAAGAAUGCUCCUCCGGCUGCAGCAUCCAUGGUUUCUCGGGCACUGUUGCCGAGCCCAUGAUAAAACGUCUGCAUCAGUAGCCAACUUUCCAUUCCAUGAUGGGACAUUCUAGGAUAUAGUCUUGAAAGCGCUCCCUUGCUUCUGGAACAGAUUCAUCAUUUUGUUGCUGAAAACUUGUAAUCUUCCCACGGAGAGCAUUGGUCUUGCCCAUGGGAAAGAACUUAGCUAGGAAGUUUGUUGAGCAGAGUGCCCACGUAGUAUUCUUCUCCUUUGUAGCGUAGAACCACUGCUUCGCUCUUCCUAACAGUGAGAAUGGGAAGAGGCGAAGUAGUAUAGCAUCUCUGGGGACUCCUGAUAUGGUAAAUGUGCUGCAAAUCUUCAGGAAGUGUUGCAGAUGAGCACUAGCAUCUUCGUGUGCCUUCCCACAGAACUGGUUGGAUUGCACCAUGUUGAUAAGUCCAGGCUUGAGCUCAAAGUUGCCAUCGAUCUCUGCAGCAGGUCCAGUGCGGAUGUUGUCCGUAGUGGGAGCUGAGAACUCGCGGAUUGAUUUGUUCGCCAUGGCUUCGAACUCUGAAGACAAGUUCCGGUGAUAUUCUUGAUUGGAUGAAGCUUCUUGCUGAAGUGUUGAUGAUCUUCUCUUGAGCUUGGUUCUAGUUUUUCUGAAUAAUGCUUCGGGAUUGUCAACAAAAUUUCCUGGAAGAUGUCUUCUAUUCAUACAUUACCCUGCAUAAGAUAAAAUAGAAAAAUAUCGAGGUAAAACUGUAUGAGAGAACAGAUAAGCUCAAUCAUAUUAGUGAUGCGAAUGAUAACUCGAAAAUCUAUAUCCAUUCUUGAUUAGUAAUCAACCUUCCCCUGCAACGGCGCCAAAAAUGAUUGUUGGGUAUUCUUAACAUCAUUACCAAAAGUAGACAGUUUUCUAAUUCUAGUAACGGUGCCAAAAAUGCCAAACCUAUCCCUCAUACCACUCAAGCCAAGUUGUCAUCCCCAGCAUGACAUGAGAGACGCGGUAUUGAAAUAUGCAAUUGCUCUUCUAAAUAAAUAAUGAAUGGGAUCUGCAAGCGCACAGAUUAAUACCGAUGUAGCAUUUUAACCGGGACGUAUUCUAGGUAUCGUUAUUUAUAUUUUUACCACUGGGAAGAGAUUAGCAAUCAUAAAUAUUGAUUACAGAAUAGAAUACGAGAUUGAAUAUCUAUCAUUGCAUAUAUAAUUGAGAACAUUUAUCUAACUCUUUCAUACAGGGGUAAGUGUCACAUAGAAGAUAUAUGAAGUAAUGAAUAGUGACAAAGAUAAUUAGUCUGAUCAGCAUAACUAGCCACAUAUAAAUAAAAGCACCUCAAUUAUAUACUCUGGAAAGUCAUUAGCAUGGAAUUAGAACGAACUACAAGAAUAUUUCCUAAGUUAUUCUCAACUAUAUAGUCUAGCAUUAUCAUAGUUAGUGCUAGCAUUCUUAGCAAUCAUUGUGAGACAAGACUACGCCCAUGCAUAGUGAUAUUAGCAAGAUAAAUGAGAAACAUAGCAAUCACUCCCCUGUAAUAAUAUUGCUCUGCCAGCCCAAUACACGAGAGGGGGACUAUAUAAGAAUCAAUGAAGCUGUCACUAUCACGAACUACCCCACGAUCUGGCAUAUUGGGUACAAUCGCAGAUAAAUACGGUAUAAGCACCACGCCUACACAAUAUCUAUCAUUUACCCAUGGAUCCGAUGGAUAAACGCUAUACAAUCCUAAGCAUGUAUAUAGAUCCAAUCUAACUAAGCCAAGUACAUAACUAUGAUAAACUAAUAACAAUAUAAUCUUUAAUAUAAACAAGUAGAGCAAAGUCAUAAGCAAUAUAUUGAAGUAGAACAAAGUCAUAUUCAUAAUAUUGAAGAACAAAGAUGAUUAGAAAGCAAUUAGAAGCACAAUUAGAGAAUUACCAAGAAUCCUCUUGACAAAUCCGGAAACCAAUCGAAGAUUGACUCCUUCUAGUUCUAAUCCUAUGUAGCUAUGCUAAUCUAGAUGUCUAAUUAAUGUGGUGGCUCUAAUCUUGAUCAGGGGCUUCUUCUUCCUUGAGAAUAAUGAAUUAGGGUUGAGAGGCUCUCUCCUCCAGGGGCCAGGGGGUCUGGUUUUAUAGUCCCUUCAAGUGAAUAUGGGCCGUUGGAUCAAACCGACAUUGAUUGAACUGUUAUCCUUGAUCCUUUAGGUCGGUGGAGAUCUUCCCCGAAAGAGAGUCCUGUUUGGACUCCAGAGGUGGGCGGGCGCCUAGGGCAACUGGGUGGGCGCCCAGUGCCUGGCCCCAUUCGGCCUCCGCUUCCUUCCCGUAGCUUCUGGAGUCUUCUAGAUGUAAGAUAAUUGCGCGGCACGUUGAUAUCUCUAUGUAAUCCCGACGUGUGGGCCUUUCUUCCGUAUUUCCUGAUAACCCCCUGCAGAAAUAGACAAACACCAAAACUCGUGGAAUUCUGUCAGAUAAAACCCUAAGUCUAGAUGUUGAUUUCAUUUGGAUCCUUUUCUUUGUUUAUUUGAUAAUUAAAUUUGAUACUUAAGGACCGUCAACAUAGGUGAUGUGAACUAGGGUUCUCAAUCUUCCGAGAGAUUCUAGUAACUAUCAAUUUGGUAGAGUCGAGUCACAAUUUGAUCUAGCAUCCAAACAACACGUUCUAAACCCAACAAUUACAGCACCAUGUCUCCUCAGGUUAUUGACCGACGCUGCAUGGCCGACCUCGCCAAGAAGGCUAAUCCUUGCCUGUGAAUUAAAGAAUAUAAGCAAGAACAAUGAAGAAUGUAACCAAAUUUGUAGAUGAAUGAUUAAUCUCACAAAGUUAGGGUCUCACAAAUCAACGACAGUGAAACUAUUGUUAAUAGAAUAAUCUAAGCAAAACCCAAACCCUAACUUAGGUGGCAGCUACUGAUUAUAUAACCUAAAUGACAUCCAUAGACCCCUAGCACGUCCAUAAGGUUCCCCAACACAUUCCAAGGCUCAGCGGCCUAAAAGACGGCGACGCAGCACUGAGAUUGAUUCUGGAUGUCAAAUGUUUUGAUGAUUCCUGUUGACUCCAAUUGUAUUUGGGCCUCAAAUCAAAGCCAUUGGUUAGCUAAUGAAAUUAUUUUUGCAUUCAUAUGUGGAUCAUCAAAAAUGGAGUCUAGCUAUGUCCUGGGCGUCUGUUUUUCUGUAGACUUGUCCUAAAGGCCAAGGCAGACUUGAACUCGAGUUCGACUAGGCCUCCAUCUUGGUUCAGCACCGUUACUGGUCCUCCACGCCUCCGAGCCCUCCUUUAUGAUUCUCCUAGUCAUCUCCUUGAUUCCUAAGCACAAUAUAAUCAUUAGGUAGCAAUCUAUUUUUAAAAUCAUAUAAUGAGUUGCUUAGGAAUGAACUCACCUCUAAAUUCGAUUGUCACAUGUGAGCUCUUGUGAUUGGACCUUGAAUAUGCAGAGGAUGUUUGUGAAGGAGUGAUGUCCUCAUCAUCCUCCCCCUCUUGAGUUGGAGUCAUCCUUUACUCUAGCUCAUCUUCUUCUCCCAAGUAUGGCUUCCAAUCUAAAAUGUUAAAAGUGGGACUAAUCCCAAACUUGGGAGGCAACUCAAGCUUAUAUGCAUUAUCAUUAAUCUUCUCAAGAAUUUUAAAUGGACCAUCAGCUCUAGGCAUCAACUUAGACUUUCUCAAAUAUGAAAAUCUAUCCUUUCUCAAGUGCAACCAAGCUAAAUCACCCGGUUCAAGCUUAACUUCUUGUCUACCUUUACUACCAGCGAUUUUAUACUUUUGAGUUAUUUUUUCAAUGUUGUGCUAUAUUGUCUCAUGCAUUUGCAAAAUAAAAUGAGCAUGUUCUUUAGCAUCAUGAUGAAUUCUCUCACUAGUAGGCAAAGACAAAAUAUCAAUUGGAUCAAGGAGAUUGAAUCCAUACACUACCUGAAAAGGACUUACCUUAUGGUAGAAUAUGUUGCCCUAUUGUAAGCAAACUCCACAUGAGGCAUACAUUCUUCCCACAACUUCAAUUUUUUUCUUUAAAAUAGCUCUCAACAUGACACCCAAAGUGUGGUUCACUAUCUCCAUUUGUCUAUCAGUUUGUGGGUGACAAGUUGUAGAAAACAAUAGUUUUGUAUCCAACAUUCCAUAGAGUUCAGCAAAAGUGACUCAAAAAUUUAGCAUCACGAUCUGAAACAAUAGUAGAAGGCAUACCAUGCAAAUGAGCAAUCUCUUUCAAAAAGGGGUCAAAAAUAUAUACAGCAUCAUCACUUUUGUGACAUGGUAUAAAGUGUGUCAUCUUAGAAAAUCGAUCCACCACCACAAAAAUGCUAUCCCUCCCCCUCUUAGUUCUAGGCAAUUCUAAAACAAAAUUCAUUGAAAUAUCUGCUAAGGAAUAGAAGAAAGGGGAAGAGGCAUACACAAACCGUCUGGAUUCAAGCGAGACUUAGCUUUUUGAUAUGUAGUGCAGCAUGCCACAAAAUGCUCAACAUCUCUCCGCAUCUUUGGCCAAAAGAAAUGUGUGGCUAACACAUCCUCCGCCUUUUUAGCACCAAAAUGUCGCAUCAACCCUUCUCCAUGUGCUUCCUAUAAUAAUAAAAGACAAACGAAACCAACUGGAAUGCAUAGAUGGUUAGUUCUAAACACAAAUCCAUUAUUGAUCACAAACACAUUCCAUGUACGCUCCUCUUUACAAUCAAGCAGCUCCUCUUUAAAAUCAGGAUCAAGCGCAUAUUGUUCUUUUAUUGAUUCAUGUCCAAAAUUAUACAAUUAAGUUGGGACAACAAAGUAUAUCAUCUAGACAAAGUAUCAGCAAUCACAUUAUCCUUCCCUUUCUUAUGUUUGAUAAUAUAAGGAAAAGAUUCAAUAAAUUCAACCACUUAGCAUGUCAAUAAUUCAAAUUAUUUUGCAAACAAAGAUACUUAAGCAAACCAUGAUCUGAAUGGAUAACAAAUUCUUUAGACCACAAACAAUAAUGCCAUGUCUCUAAAGAGUGUACAAGUGCAUAUAAUUCCUUAUCAUAUGUAGAGUAAUUUAGAACAGGGCCAUACAAUUUUUUGCUAUAGUGUGCAACAGGCUUAUCAUCUUGCAUCAAAAUACCUCCAAUGCCAACUUCACUAGCAUCACAUUCUAGCUCAAAUGUCUAACCAAAGUUUGGAAGUUAUAACAAAGGUGUGUGCGUAAGCUUGUCCUUCAACAUUUCGAAGGACUCCUCUUGUUCCUUACCCCAAUGAAACACCACACCUUUCUUUGACAACUCAUGUAAAGGAGUAGCAAUGGUGCUGAAAUCCUUGACGAAGUGGUGGUAAAAUCCUACAAGACCAACAAAACUCCUCACCUAUGUAAUGGUUUGGAGAACCGACCAGCUCUUUAUGGCUUCAAUUUUUACCUCAUCCACCUCAAUGCCCUAUGGAGUAACAACAUAGCCAAGAAAAAAAGACUCGAUCCAUGCAAAAGACACACUUCUUUAGGCCAGCACAUAAGUGAUCCUUAUGUUCAUCCAAAGACUUGCUAUAAAUAAAGAUAUCAUCAAAGUAAACUACCACAAAUCGACCAAUGAAAGCUAAUAAAACCUCAUUCAUUAAGCGCAUGAAAGUACUAGGUGCAUUAGUCAAACAAAAAGGCAUUACUACCCACUCAUACAAGCCAAAUUUGGUUUUGAAAGUUGUAUUCCAUUCAUCUCCAAGUUUCAUUCUAAUUUGGUGGUAGCCACUAUACAAGUUAGUCUUUGUAAAAAUAGAACCACAUAACUCUUCAAGCAUGUCAUCAAGCCUAGGAAUAGGGUGACGAUAUCGAAUGGUAAUAUUAUUAAUGGAUCUACAAUCAACACACAUAUGCCAAGAAACAUCUUUCUUAGAAACCAAAAUCACAAGAACUGCACAAGCACUAAGGCUUUCUCGUACAUACCCUGAGUCCAAAAGCUCUUGGACUUGUCGUUGAAUUUCCUUACUCUCCUAGGGGUUGGUUCGAUAAUGUAAGUGCAUCUAGCCCUUUAGUGGGUUUUGGUGAAUUGAAUGACAACAAAGUUAAAGGUCUAACAAGUUUGCUAAGUGUAUCAAAGGUUCAACAAGAAAGCAAACUUGAUGGUAUUUCACAUAAUGUUUAAAUAAAGACCAAAGUUGUGUAUUGUUAUAAACUGAAGCUUGAUUGAUAUCAACACUCAUAUCAAGAAGAUAUUCAAGCAAGGAUCACAAUAUUGAAGAAAUGGUUUUUCAGUGGACGCUUAACAUGAUGUGACUUGAGUAUGGCUCGAUAGGGUGAAGAUAGCAAGGAAAGGGCUUCGAGGGACUAAGCAAAGGUGAAGGGCAAGCAAUGGCUUGUAGACCGAGGUACCAUGGCUAAGGUGAAGAAGAGAGUACUUGCAUUGAGUCGAGGUACUAAUUGAGCUAUGAGGAGUCAUAUUGUGUUGAGGAUCAAAUCAUUAGUGGAAGUGACUUGAAGCCAUGGAUUGAACUCACAUGUGUUGAAAUGAUUCAAGUCACAUGCUCAAGCUAUAUUUACUCAAAGAGAGGAGACAAAGUUAAUUGCAUCCCUAAUGAAGUGAUAGUGAGAAGUGGCAUAUGAAGACACUAAAGACUCAAGUGGUUAAAAUGGUUAUAUACUUUUGAUCUUGAGUUUAGGAUAUGCCGUACUAUAAAGAGGGAUGCAAAUUUAGCUGGUCUGAGGAAGAUAGAGUGUUCAAGUAUUAAAACUAAAUCAAAAGAGAGACACUCUAGCACUUCACGAGCACGUAGAAUAGUAUUGUUUGACUUGGGGUGUCGGAAGUCCCGACGUAUGUCGGAACUGAUGAUGUAUGUCGGAAGUGAUGACGUUCGUCGGAAGUCCCGACACCUGGCCCUCUUGCUACCUCUGCUCGCGCUUGCGUCGGAAGUCCCGACGCGCGUCGGAACUGAUGACGCAUGUCGGAAGUGAUGACGUUCGUCGGAAGUCCCGACACCUGGCCCUCUUGCUACCGCUGCUCGCGCUUGUGUCGGAAGUCCCGACGUACGUCAGAACUGAUGACGUGUCGGAAGUGAUGACGUAUGUCAGAACUGAUGACACGUCGGAACUGAUGACGUAUGUCGGAACUGAUGACGUUGACUGGUUUUGUGCAGACUUCUGACUAAGGUGAACAGUGUUUUUAGUGUAUGUCGGAAGUCCCGAGAUCCACGUCGGAACUUCCGACGUAGAUCUGAACGGUUAGUUUUCAGCUUCUUGUAUAAAUAGCUGUCUCCUCACUUCUAACCAUUGGCUCACUCUUCCACUCGACUAAACCUUCAGCCAAGGCACCUCUCUAGCUCCCAAAAGCUCCUCUCUUCUAUCCCCUUUGCUCCUAACUUCAAAUCUUGCAAGGGAUUGAGUGAGAGAAGGAUUCUUGGUGAGAGAAACAUCAAAGCAAAGCUUGAGCACUUGAUUUCUUUGUCAAGCCGGUUGGAUUUGUGUUUGUUACUCUUGGAGCAAGGCUCCUAGCCGGCUAGGCAUUGCCCGUGGAGCUUCCAACUUAUGUGGUAGCCCCGGGAGGUUUGUAAUCACUCAAAUCAUCUAGUGAAAUCACCCCUCAUCUCAAGAGAUUGCUCUCUUGACUUGAGAACGAGGAUAGGGUUGAAAGAGACCCGAAAAGCCUGUGUGGCUUCCUCAACAACGUGGACAUAGGCAAUCCUUGGUGGCAAGCUGAACCAUGGGAUAAAUACCUUGUCGCUUUGUGUUCUUGCUAUUUCUGUUGCUCUCUACUUGUUUAUUUGUGAUUCUAGGGUUUGGUCCCGAUGUACUAAUUGGUGGCUCUCUAAGGUCAAGGAAGCACUUGGAUAACUUCAUCUUACCACUAGGAAGUGGGGUUGUAAGUUAUUGGCUUCACAAAGUUCAUUUAAGCACUUGUAGUUCAUUUCCCGUAGGCGUCGGAACUUCUGACAGUUUGCGUUAGAACUUCUGACGACGUUGGAAGUUCCGACCUAAACUGUCAUCAGUUCUGACAGUUGCUGACAAGUGACUUUGAGUUGUGUAGAAAUUUUUAGAUACGCCUAUUCACCCCCUCUAGGCGACAUCAAGGUCCUUACAAGUGGUAUCAGAGCUAGGCUCUCAAUUUUGGGCUUAACCGCCUUGAGAGACGAUGUCGACAAGUGAGGAGGUAUCUCUAGAACUUCUACUUUUAGAUGGUUCAAAUUAUGCAUCUUGGUCCGCUAGUGUGCUUGAUGUUUUUAGGGCCAUGGGUCCUCAUAUCGAGCGAAUUGUAGAUGUGAGCAUUUCACCUCCUAGUGAUGAUUUGGACUAUCUAUCUAGAGAGGAAGUGAGAUGCUUACAACACAAUGCUCAAGCUACUAAUAUCUUAUUUAGUGCUUUGAGUGAAGAUGUUUUUGAUACCGUCAUAUUUGGAGAUGGUGAACCACUUAUGGAUGCUCAUCUUAUUUGGACUACACUCAAAGAAAGAUAUGACAAGUCCAAAUAUGAUGAGAAGUAUCUCUCACUAGAGGAACCAUUUGAGGAGUGCUCAACUUCACCAACAAGUGACGAGCCUCAAGUGAUUCUCUCAAAUGGUCAAAGUGACCAUGUGACGUCCACUUCCUCAUCAACAUAUGACUCAUUGGAAAGUGAUGAAAUGGUUGGUGAGAACAAUGUUUUUACAUGUGGUACUUCUACUUCCUCUUGUUCUUGUGAGACUAACAUUUUGAAGGAAGAAGAAGAUUGUGAUCGAUGGAGGCCAAAUGAUGAAUCCACCUCACCGAGAAGGUCAACUCCCUAUGCCACUUCUCACGUGGGUCUCAUGGCUAAGAAAGAGAAGAAUGUGGCAAGUGAGAGUGAAAGUGAGAGUGAGAGUGAAAGUGAUGAUGAUGAGAUCGAUCAACAUCUUGCACGCCUGAGCAAGAAAGACAAGUUGAUGGUGCUCAAGGUCAUAGAGAAAAUUGAAGAUCAAGAAGAAAAACUUAAUGAGCAAGAUGAGUUUGUCAUCAAAAAGAUCAAAUGCUUGGAGAAGUUGACCAAAGAGCAUGAAAAACUUAAGUGCUCUCAUGCUAGUUUGGUCAAAAGGUAUGAAAACUUGUCAAUUGAGCAAACUUGUACUAUUAACUCUCUAUCUUGUGUUGCUCAAUUAGAAGAUGAGAAUGAUAUGCUCAAGGACAAAGUGGAGAGUCUCACUAGCAAGAAUGAGACUUUGCAAGAAAGUCGUGAUGAGCUCUUGUGCUCUCAUGAGAAGCUUGUUGAUUCUCAUCUCAUGCUAGAAAUAGCUCAUGAGGUUGUGGUAACAUCGGUAAAAUCGUAUCAACCUCACACUCACAAGUGCACAUGCACACAAGUUCCAUAUAUUUUAUCAUGUGCUAACAAUUGUUGCUCUCAAGCAAGUCAACCUUCCAUUGAGCAUGUACUUGUGGAAACUUGUGAUGACUCCAUUACAAAAGAAAAUGAAGAGCUCAAGGAAGAGGUUGAGAGGCUAAGAAGGGAUUUGAUUCAAUGGAAGGGAAAGUGCAUUGCUCAACCUUCUCAAGAUAACCAUGAAGCCAUGGUGAAGAAGCUUGAGAAGGGAUCAACUGAUGCAUGCAUCAAGCUCCAUCUAGAAGGCCACAAGUCAAACAAUGGCAAAGUGAAGGGACAUGCUAGAAAUGUGCAGUCUGUCCAAAAUGCAGCAAUUGUGCUCAAGGCUAUGAGCGUUCAAGAAUAUGGCAGUGCCGCAUCCCAAUGCGGUGGUGCUGCAUCUAGACAGAAAAUGAAAGUCCCCAAGGUCACAAAGGUGCAAUGUCAACCAAAGAAGACUCUUAUCACUUGCUUCAAGUGCAAGAAAGAGGGUCACCAUGUCAGAGAUUGCACUCUGAAGAAAGAAGAGAAGGGCAUGAGCAAGAUCCAAGAGAAGAACAAAAUGGCUCAUGUCAAGUGCUCCAACAUGAGACACAAUGCCUCUAUGUGUUCCAGCAAGGCUAAUGACCAAGCAACACUUCCAAACAUGAAGAUAAGAAGAAGCAAGAGGAAGUGUUAUGGAUGUAAUAAGAAGGGUCAUGAAAUUGCAUCAUGCCCCUACAUGAAGGAUGAAGUCUUGGCAUCAUCAAGUAAGAGGCUUGUCAACAAGGUAGCAAACAAGAAGCAAGAUGAGAAUAUGUCUUGCAAGAACAAACACCGCACUUACUACACUUGUCGAGGAAAGGGACAUCUAAGUAUGGAUUGUCCCAUUGGUAACACUCCUAAGCUCAACUUAUCAAUUCCUUCAAAUAUGCUUAGGAGGCCUAAAAAUGACACUUGUGCUAGAAAGGUGAUCGGUUCACCACGUGCUAGCACAAAGGCCAUUUGGGUGCGUAAGUCUCUUGUGACUAACCUUGAUGGACCCAACAAAAUUUGGGUACCAAGUUAUGCUUGAUGAGUGUUGUAGGUACUUGAAGGUGAUAUGAAGCUUUGGGGUGCUUGAGCAAGUUGAUUGAAAAUAUUCACUCAAGCUAUCAAUCUAUUCAUAUUGUGUGUUCUUAUAUGAUUGACCUAAAGAUGAAUCACUAGAAAUAUUUCAAACUUCAUGUUCACCUUGGUAACUAGUACCUAACCCUUGGUAGCUAGCCACUUGACUUGUGUAGUUUUUAAUAGUUCACAAAUAUGUGUUUGUUUGUGAAUUAUUAAGAGUGGCUAGAGUACCUUACGCUUAAAUGAAUCAUUUGCCAUAUGAUGCUUUUAAUGGCUCUCUAGUAGAGCAAGAUCUUAUUCAUGAUGUAGGUAAUGAGGAACCACCUUGGGAGAAUAUCAAGAAAAUGGACACUGGUGAUAUGAGACCAAAGAAGUCCAAAGUUACAGUGAUAAGGAUAUCAUCAAGCUGCUGCUACACAUAAUUCCGCUGACACCUCUGAUGCGGCAGUGCCAUGCCUUAGAGUGGCAGUGCCGCACCUAUGUAGAUAGCAGCAGCUGACAUCAAUCCAGGACAUGGAUGAAACCUAUAACAUGAUGAUAAUCAAAGUGAAGAUGAAAAGACCACCUCAUUCAUUAUAUCUCAAGAAGGGUGGAACUCUCUACUUGAUGGAAUCUUGUCUUAUGGUAGAUGACUAAAAUUCUCAUUUACAUCUUAUGAGCAUCUACAUGCUGCAAUGGUUGUGAGUAUCUCUUGGCAUAUUUCAAUUUGGUUACAUUAUUGUUGCCAUGACCUAGGCAUAGAGUGAAAUCCUAAGUUCUUGAAUGAGUAUGGUGCUUUGUGAGAAAUUCAAAUGCUUAGAGCACUUAUCAAAAGGGAAUUUACUCUAUGACUAGAGUUGUGAGACUAACUGUUUCUCUAAGUGAUUUAUGUAGUCUCACUAAAUGAGAAUGUGUUUCUCAAAUGGAGUGUGCUAUUGUAUAAAGAUCAUCAUUCUAAUACCAUGUGAUGUUUUCUCUCUAGCUAAUUUGUAAUUGAUUUAUCUAUGAUUAUCCACUCACCGUAAUAUGGCUUAAAUCUACCCUUUGGACUUAAUUGGUCAAUCAUGCACAUUCACACUUCCAUUCCACUCAAAGAGUGUGCAUGAGACAUCAAGGGAGAUUUAGUCCAUGUUAUGAGGUUUCUUUAUUUAGUAACCCAUUUGCCUUCCACACAUAAAGGGUUACUAAAUGAGAAACUAGUACUUGUGUUACUAAUGCCCUCUUAUGCUUAAGCUUAUCCACAGAAAAUUUAUGAGAAGAGGUUGUGCUUGGCUUAAUUGAAUAAUUCACAAGUUUGAAGGUUACUCUUCACCUAAAGUGAGAUGUUGCUGCUAGAGGUCAUAUAGAUCAAAAUCUAAAUUUGAAUAAAACAAGUUUGAGGUUAAAUUAGAUGGGCUAUUUUGGAAGCAUUCACAAGAUUACAAGUAUUGAUAAGAGGACUGAAUGGAAAUUAUAUCUUGUGAGUUUUCUCAACCAAAUCCACCUCAAGAUUGGACAAGAAGAAAAGAAGAAUUACGAAUUUUGGAAGAUCACAAGUGCUCAAACUCACCAUGGACUGUCAAGUAAGAACAAUGGCCAUCCAAAUACCAUGGAAAGUCUCACUUAUGAUGGUCAUACCAAUCAAGAUUUGUGUUGUGAUCUAUCUAGAUUAGUGAUGGUAUGUUUCUUUGGCAUAAUUUCAAUUAUUGCAAAUUUGUUAUGCCUUGACCAAGAUAUAGGAUGGACUCCUCUUGACUCUUAAAUUGAUUCAAGUGCAUUUAACAAGUAGUUGAAAUACUUGAUGCACAUAUUAAGGGGGAGCUAGUUCUAUGUCUUGUGUUUCUGAGACUAACCUUUUCUUCUAGUGAAUUUGUGUAGUCUCUUAGUGAGAAUGAUUUUCUCAGGGUAUGCUAUAUUAACUCAAUCCAAAUGGGUAAAGUUAUCUCUCAUAUUUAUUUUUGGAUUGUAUUUUAUCUCUUAAGUAGCUACUCUCCAUAAUAUAGCUUAAAUUCCCUUGUUUGGACUUAAUUGACCAAAAGUGCAUACGUUCUUGCCUUCCACAUAUAUAUGUAUACACUACCAAAAGGGGGAAUUUAGUCUAUGUUAUGAGGUUUUGCAAUUAGUGAUCAACAUGCCUUCCACAUACAAAUGGUCACUAGUUGUGAGACUAUAGCUUGUGCAAUUUAAUGCUAUCUCUUGUCUUUGUGAGCAUUGUCUAGGAGAUAUUAUGAGAUACAAGAAUAUAUUUCAAUUGACAUCAACUUGUGAAGACUCUUUCAUUGGUGUAAAAAUUGUGAAGACCACAUUUCAUUUGGUAUUGGUUGAUGAUUUUUUAAAUUUGGUAUAUCAAGAAAUAUGUCUUCAAUUGGUAUCUCAUAAUGACAUCAAGCGCUAGCAAUGGACUUUCAAUCAAAAUCAAGCACAAGUUUUGUAUAUCUCCUUAAAGAUGAUGAUGAAAAGAGAUGGGCACAUGAAAUAUUUUUUGUCAUAAAGAAAUGCUAAGCCCAUCAAAGCACCAAAUUCAACUCAUAAAAAUCAUCAUUAUGGUGGAGAUUACAAGGCUUAGAACAAAGGUAUAUCGCUCUAGGAACUCUUGUAUUACCUUUGUGCAUCUAGGCCCUUACUUGCUAGUGUGUGUGUUGGGUAUUCUUAACAUCAUUACCAAAAGUAGACUAAGUUCUCUAAAUCUAGUAACGGUGCCAAAAAUGCCAAACCUAUCCCUCACACCACUUAAGCCAAGUUGUCAUCCCCAGCAUGACAUGAGAGACGCGGUAUUGAAAUAUGCAAUUGCUCUUUUAAAUAAAUAAUGAAUGGGAUCUGCAAGCGCACAGAUUAAUACCGAUGCAGCAUUUUAACCGAGAAGUAUUCCAGGUAUCGUUAUUUAUAUUUUUACCACUGGGAAGGGAUUAGCAAUCAUCACUAUUGAUUACAAAAUAGAAUAUGAGAUUGAGCAUCUAUCAUUGCAUGUAUAAUUGAGAACAUUAUAUCUAACUCUUCAUACAGGGAUAAGUGUCACAUAAAGGAUAUAUGAAAUAAUAAGAGUGACAAGGAUAACUAAUCUGAUCUAGCCACAUAAUAAAUAUGAUAAGCACCUCGAUUAGAUACUCUAGAAAGUCAUUAGCAUGGUAUUAGAACGAACUACGAGAAUAUUCCCUAAGUUAUUCUCGACUACGUAGUCUAGUAUUAUCAUAGUUAGUGCAAGCAUACUUAGCAAUCAUUGCGAGACAAGACUACGCCCAUGCGUAGUGAUAUUAGCAAGGUAAAUGAGAAACAUAGCAAUCACUCCCCUGUAAUAAUGUUGCUCUGCCAACCCAAUACACGAGAGGGGGACUAUAUAAGAAUCAAUGAAGCUCUCACUAUCACGAACUACCCCACGAUCUGGCAUAUUGGGUACAAUCGCAGAUAAACACGGUAUAAGCACCACGCCUACACAAUAUCUAUCAUUUACCCAUGGAUCCGAUGGAUAAACGCUAUACGAUCCUAAGCAUGUAUAUAGAUCCAAUCUAACUAAGCCAAGUACAUAACUAUGAUAAACUAAGAACAAUAUAAUCUUGAAUAUAAGCAAGUAGAGCAAAGUCAUAAGCAAUAUAUUGAAGUAGAACAAAGUCAUAUUCAUAAUAUUGAAGAACAAAGAUAAUUAGAAAGUAAUUAGAAGCACAAUUAGAGAAUUACCAAGAAUCCUCCUAACAGAUCCGGAAACCAAUCGAAGAUUGACUCCUUCUAGUUCUAAUCCUAUGUAGCUAUGCUAAUCUAGAUAUCUAAUUGAUGUGGUGGCUCUAAUCUUGAUCAGAAGCUUCUUCUCCCUUGAAGAAUAAUGAAUUAGGGUUGAGAGGCUCUCUCCUCCAGGGGCCAGGGGGUCUGGUUUUAUAGUCCCUUCAAGUGAAUAUGGGCCAUUGGAUCAAACCGACAUAGAUUGUAUGGUUUAGAUUCAUCCUUUAGGUCGGUGGAGAUCUCCCACGAAGCAGAGUCCUGAUUGGACUCAGGAGGAGGGCGGGCGCCCAGGGGAACAGGGCGGGCGCCCUGCCUCUGGCCCCGUUUCGCCUCCGCUUCGGUCUCAUGGCUUCUGGAGUCUUCUAGAUGUAAGAUAAUUGCGCGGCACGUUAAUAUCCCUAUGUAAUCCCGACGUGUGGGCCUUUCUUCCGUAUUUCCUGAUAACCCCCUGCAGAAAUAGACAAACACCAAAACUCGUGGAAUUCUGUCAGAUAAAACCCUAAGUCUAGAUGUUGAUUUCAUUUGGAUCCUUUUCUUUAUUUAUUUGAUAAUUAAAUUUGAUACUUAAGGACCGUCAACAAACUCCCCCAAGCUUACCUCUUGCUCGUCCCUGAGCAAGGAUAGACUCAGCAAUGGAUCAUAAGUUGUUGCAAUAUCUUAAAAAAUUGACGGUACACAUGCUUUUUAAAUAAGAUCUCAUCUCUGAGUUAGAGUAAACUGUCUAGACUUAAAACUUACUUACUUUACCUUCACCAUGGGACUUGUAACUGUCACUUCUGUCUUGAGUGGUUAAAAGAUAGAACAGUCUAGCCAAGUGCCAUGUCUCUUAUUCUUGAUUAGCUAUAGCUCUGGGGUUUUCGUAGAUUUUCAAAUAAAACUCAGAGAUUCCUUGUAUGACUCUCUCAGAUCUCUCUUUUGUGGUAUUUCUGCAUCCUUACCAAGGCAGUGAUGGUAUAUGCCUUCUCUCAAGAUAUGUAGUAUUUAUGGUAUUAAGCAUAGUGACAUUAUCUUAUCUCUCACUCUACUUCUAAUAAGGCUUUAAUAUCUAGAGCUCAUAGGUGGGAGAUAAAGUAUACAUACUUACAAGACAUGUAUUGCAUAGUCAAACCAUGGAUCCAAAGAAACAAAUCAAUAAGUUUAAUCAAGAUGUGCAUGUGUGGCGAAUGAAUGGUGUAUGAUGAUAACAAUGGUGAAAGUCUAAUUCUUCUUUGCUCUUUUGAGGGGAUACAUACCUUCCUUGCUUUUUUGAAAUUUUAUGAGGAGAAUGAGAUGCUCUUCUUUUUCUUUUCUCUCAGGUGGGUAUCUUGUACCCCUAAUUCUACUGUCGGACACUUGUCCAUUUUUACCUCUCGUCUCACUUUUUUUCUUUUCUUUCGAGGUUCCGAGCACUUGCUCCUUUUUAUUUCCUCGUUUUUUUAGAGCACUCAUCUCUUAAGAUAAUGUAGCAAGUGGUAGUAACAAGAUAACUUGAGCAUUUAUUUCACAAGGGAAAACAGAAAUAUUUUUGGCUAUUCUCUCCCGGAUUAGGAGUAGAAUAUUUUUGGGUGAUUCUAGAGAUGGAAUGGGUGGAUAUAUGUGGAUGGUACUUCCGGAGUAGACGUAGCAUAUAUGAGUGAACGUGCAAGUGAAAUCUUGAUUUAACCACAUGACAAGCUCUUAAGGGUCUACUCAGCUUGACCACACUCAAUGCUCAUAAGCAGUAAAAAGUAAAUGUGUGGCUCAAAGUCUAGCAAGCAUGUAUAUAUGGUUGUGGUAGGAAUUUAAACUCUCAUCAUACAGGAACUCAUCAUGCAACAUUUUAAAAGAUUUUCAAAGAUAAAAUUCUCCAGAAUUCUAGCAUCUCUAGAAACAGAUAAACAGCAGCUCAACCUUCCCAUAUCGUAUCCGUUAACAACUUAGACUUC